rnacentral:rRNA from 1 species
AGCGAACGCUGGCGGCAGGCUUAACACAUGCAAGUCGAGCGGGCACUUUCGGGUGUCAGCGGCGGACGGGUGAGUAACGCGUGGGAACGUGCCCUCUGGUUCGGAAUAACUCAGGGAAACUUGAGCUAAUACCGGAUACGCCCUUUUGGGGAAAGGCUUGCUGCCGGAGGAUCGGCUCGCGUCUGAUUAGCUAGUUGGUGAGGUAACGGCUCACCAAGGCGACGAUCAGUAGCUGGUCUGAGAGGAUGAUCAGCCACACUGGGACUAAGACACGGCCCAGACUCCUACGGGAGGCAGCAGUGGGGAAUAUUGGACAAUGGGCGCAGGCCUGAUCCAGCCAUGCCGCGUGAGUGAUGAAGGCCUUAGGGUUGUAAAGCUCUUUUAUCCGGGACGAUAAUGACGGUACCGGAGGAAUAAGCCCCGGCUAACUUCGUG